GACGAACGCUGGCGGCGUGCUUAACACAUGCAAGUCGAACGGAAAGGCCCUUUCGGGGUACUCGAGUGGCGAACGGGUGAGUAACACGUGGGUGAUCUGCCCUGCACUUUGGGAUAAGCCUGGGAAACUGGGUCUAAUACCGGAUAUACCUCGCUGGUCGCAUGGCCUGGUGGGGGAAAGCUUUUGCGGUGUGGGAUGGGCCCGCGGCCUAUCAGCUUGUUGGUGAGGUUAUGGCUUACCAAGGCGACGACGGGUAGCCGGCCUGAGAGGGUGACCGGCCACACUGGGACUGAGAUACGGCCCAGACUCCUACGGGAGGCAGCAGUGGGGAAUAUUGCACAAUGGGCGCAAGCCUGAUGCAGCGACGCCGCGUGGGGGAUGACGGCCUUCGGGUUGUAAACCUCUUUCAGUGCCGACGAAGCGUAAGUGACGGUAGGCACAGAAGAAGGACCGGCCAACUACGUGCCAGCAGCCGCGGUAAUACGUAGGGUCCGAGCGUUGUCCGGAAUUACUGGGCGUAAAGAGCUCGUAGGUGGUUUGUCGCGUUGUCCGUGAAAACUCACAGCUUAACUGUGGGCGUGCGGGCGAUACGGGCAGACUUGAGUACUGCAGGGGAGACUGGAAUUCCUGGUGUAGCGGUGGAAUGCGCAGAUAUCAGGAGGAACACCGGUGGCGAAGGCGGGUCUCUGGGCAGUAACUGACGCUGAGGAGCGAAAGCGUGGGGAGCGAACAGGAUUAGAUACCCUGGUAGUCCACGCCGUAAACGGUGGGUACUAGGUGUGGGUUUCCUUCCUUGGGAUCCGUGCCGUAGCUAACGCAUUAAGUACCCCGCCUGGGGAGUACGGCCGCAAGGCUAAAACUCAAAGAAAUUGACGGGGGCCCGCACAAGCGGCGGAGCAUGUGGAUUAAUUCGAUGCAACGCGAAGAACCUUACCUGGGUUUGACAUGCACAGGACGCUGGCAGAGAUGUCGGUUCCCUUGUGGCCUGUGUGCAGGUGGUGCAUGGCUGUCGUCAGCUCGUGUCGUGAGAUGUUGGGUUAAGUCCCGCAACGAGCGCAACCCUUGUCUCAUGUUGCCAGCGCGUUAUGGCGGGGACUCGUGAGAGACUGCCGGGGUCAACUCGGAGGAAGGUGGGGAUGACGUCAAGUCAUCAUGCCCCUUAUGUCCAGGGCUUCACACAUGCUACAAUGGCCGGUACAAAGGGCUGCGAUGCCGUGAGGUGGAGCGAAUCCUUUCAAAGCCGGUCUCAGUUCGGAUCGGGGUCUGCAACUCGACCCCGUGAAGUCGGAGUCGCUAGUAAUCGCAGAUCAGCAACGCUGCGGUGAAUACGUUCCCGGGCCUUGUACACACCGCCCGUCACGUCAUGAAAGUCGGUAACACCCGAAGCCGGUGGCCUAACCCCUUGUGGGAGGGAGCCGUCGAAGGUGGGAUCGGCGAUUGGGACGAAGUCGUAACA
rnacentral:rRNA from 2 species